UGGUAAUGUUAUUGGAGGGGAUAUAGGGGAGGCUCAGCAGCACUGGGACUUCAGUCUUGCUCAGUCAUUCAUCAGCAGCAGCAGAAGAAGAACCAUGAAGUGUCAACAGCAGUCACAAUCCAACACGGCCCUGCAGAACAGGAGGAAAUGGAAAAUAGUCCUCAACGCGUUCAGGCCAGCAGUGUCGAGCGCCAACAUGCCAAUCUCUGCCACGUCCGGACCUGCAGCAACCUAAGCUGCCAUCUUGUCGAGACCUGCAGCUGCCUCUAGAUCUGUGGCGGCAACAACCUCCAGCACGUCUGAACCAGUAGCGGCCACGUGGGAUCUCGUAGCGCGCAUAGCCCACUUGCUGGAGCAGAACAAGGAGCCGCUGUUGUCCAUCACAUUCAUCGAUUUGUGUGAUGAGGAAACGCGAUCUGCCCCCGGCACAUCGAACGCUGCUGGUGGUCCUAAACAACAUCAAGAUGGAGGACAGUACUGGCCACCAACAUAUGACCCAUCCCAGCUGAACAUUCCUGUGAUAGUGCAGCCACAGAGUGCAGAUGCUGUGGAUAAGAAGGCAUCGGGUUUACCUAUUCUUUUCACCUCCACAUACAAUUUAACUCCCAGUGGAACGAAACGUGUAAAUGUUGAUAUAGAAGCACAUCAUGUCUGGGGCUUGCAUGCGAGAAUGGAAAUUGAAAACGCAUCGAGUGUGUUAAAGUGCCAGUUUCCGAGUUCGACUGGGACGAAAAAUGUCGUGCAGAGCGCUACAUCAAUCAACGGAUGACUACAGAGUAUUAUCCAACUCGUUCUCGCCCAGACGUCUGCCUUACUGGUGUGAGACUUUCUAUUACAACAGUGUACGAUGACUGUACAUUAUGUAUGAAAUCGGGUGACAGCACUGUUUAUCUAAGGCAUGCCUCAGUUAUGAAGUUAUACAAUCUGGAUACUGCGCUACGUCUUGCAUUGGAGGGACUGGACCGUUAAUUGCGGAGCACAGACUCUGCAUACAAUGAUGUUGUAAACUCCCUACGUGUGCAUAGUGUACAUGUUGAUGAUUUGAAGCAGCACCUUUGUUUGCACAUGAACGCUGAACCUAAGGACAAACAGAUUAAAUGUGCGUGUGAAAAACCUGAGUACUGUGAGGCAUCCAUUGGCCUGAGUGAGAUACGCGCGGAAUUUAUUGCAUGUCAAAAAGCUUUCUUUGGGAAAUACUGUACAGCUGCGAAGAAGAAGAUACAUAAUGAGUGUAAUGAUUUUCCUGAAGUACUACAUCCUAUCUAUGACAUUUAAAUAAAUAAAUAAUUAUGUAUAUAUAAUCUCAAA